rnacentral:rRNA from 1 species
UACGGAGGGUGCGAGCGUUUGUCCGGAAUCACUGGGCGUAAAGGGCGCGUAGGCGGCGCGGAUAGUCGGCGGUGAAAGCCCGGAGCUCAACUCCGGGUCGGCCGUCGAUACUUCCGGGCUUGAGCACUGUAGAGGCAGAUGGAAUUCCGGGUGUAGCGGUGGAAUGCGUAGAGAUCCGGAAGAACACCGGUGGCGAAGGCGGUCUGCUGGGCAGUUGGCUGACGUGA